UACUCUGCAGCAGACCCUCGGUCCACUCCGGUGAUAUAGAUGCCCAGAGCAUACUCAGCACCCCCACGGAUCAUCAGACCCAAAGAUCGCCCGUCAUCCAGAGCUGAGCACUAUGGCUCCCACGGGAUUUUGCGGAAUUGACAGCGGAGAAAGGCUUGAGAGUGUCAAAAAGUUCAACUUUAUACAAAUGAGUUGCUGGAUGUCCGAGUGUCUUCCUCCUGAGCCACGCUGGUCCACCAGGUCUGGGGGCGGGGACACACUGCGGCCCUGAGGGUCCAC